GCGGCGGUGGCGCAGCGGUCGACGCGCCCGACUUAGGAUCGGGUGGGGGUGAUUCCCCAUGAGGGUUCGAAUCCCUUCCGCCGCA
rnacentral:tRNA from 1 species